rnacentral:rRNA from 1 species
UACGGAGGGUGCAAGCGUUAUCCGGAAUCAUUGGGUUUAAAGGGUCCGUAGGCGGUCUGAUAAGUCAGAGGUGAAAUCCUGCAGCUCAACUGUAGCAUUGCCUUUGAUACUGGUUGACUUGAGUUAUACGGAAGUAGAUAGAAUAUGUAGUGUAGCGGUGAAAUGCAUAGAUAUUACAUAGAAUACCAAUUGCGAAGGCAGAUUACUAAUAGUACACUGACACUGAUGGACGAAAGCGUGGGUAGCGAACGGG